AUGGGCCCGCGGGCCGGGCGGGCUCGGGGCGGCCGGGACGAGGAGGGGCGACGACGAGCUGCGAGCAAAGAUGUGCCCCGGGACCCCCGGCACCUUCCAGUGGAUUUCCUUGCGGAAAGGAUGUUGGCGGUCCCUGUGACCUGUGGAGACACGGCCAGAUCUGCCCUCCAGCCUGAUCUUUUGGCCAGAAGGAGAUUAAAAAGAUGCCCCUCAAGAUGGCUGUGCCUGUCAGCUGCAUGGAGCUUCGUUCAAGUAUUUUCUGAGCCUGAUGGAUUUACAGUGAUCUUCAGUGGUCUGGGGAAUAACGCUGGUGGAACCAUGCACUGGAAUGACACACGCCCGGCACAUUUCAGGAUACUAAAAGUGGUUUUAAGGGAGGCUGUGGCUGAAUGCCUCAUGGAUUCUUACAGCUUGGAUGUCCAUGGGGGACGAAGGACUGCAGCUGGCUGAGAGGGUUGAGAUCUCUGUUUACUUAGAUCUCUGCCAACUUCCUUUGGGUCUCCCUAUGGAAUGUAAGACCCCGACUCUUCCUGGUGAAGCAUCUGAUGCACGUUCCAUCCGGCGCUCAGCUGGGCUUGAGCUGACCAUACUCCCUGGAGCCUUCUCCCGAGGUGCGCGGGUGACCUUGGCACAUACAGCCAUCAUGAUGGUACUUUAAGUGGAGGCUGAAUCAUCUCCCCUUUGAGCUGCUUGGCACGUGGCUCCCUUGGUGUUCCCCUUUUACUGCCAGGACACUGAGAUUUGGAGAGAGUCUCACUCUGUGGUCCAGGCUGAAGUACAGUGGCAUGAUCCCAGGUCACUGCAACCCCCACCUCCCGGGUUCAAGUGAUCCUCCUGCCUCAGCCUCCCGAGUAGCUGGUAUUACAGGCGUGUGCCACAAAGCCUGGCUAAGUUUUGUAUUUUUAGUAGAGACGGGGUUUCACCAUGUUGGCCAGGUUGGUCUCGAACUCCUGACCUCAAGUGAUCCACUCACUUUGGCCUUUCAACGUGCUGGGAUUACAGGCGAGAGUCACCGCACCCGGACGACUCUGACAUUUUUGAAGAGUCCAGAAUCCUGUUACACCUGGGAUUUAGGCACUUUCAAUCUGAAAAAAUACAUAUCCUUUCAGCACUCUGGACGGACUUGAGAACUGUCCUUACGUGACCUAAAGCUGGAGUAUUUUGAGAUUGGAGAAUUAAGAGUGUGGGCACCCUGGCUUCAAGCUCACGAGAAACCAGAAGGAAGUCACUGUGCAUAGCCAUCCCCUAAGAAGAGGGCAUUCCUGCUCUUCCUUCUCCAUGGCUAGAGGAUCUACAUGAACUAUUUAGAUUUUUUCUACCUGGGAGAUUUAACUCCUCUCUCCUAUUUAUUUAUUUAUAUAUCAGCAUGGACUUGCAGGCCAACAGAGAUUUUGAGAAACACAUUGAAGGAUCUGUUAACACUUGAUAUACCCAAUAAAAGCAGUGGUUGUGCCAGUGCUGAUCUGUCUUGAUGUGAAUGUGAACAAUGGGAACCUGAGCUGAGCAGUUAAUGCUAGGGUGACAGAAACUGGACCUCUCCCAAGACAUGUGACAGAGUAAUACAGCAGCCAACUUCUUCGCCAAAUUAAAGUUUUACAAGAUUUAACCUGUCAUCAAGACCUGGGAUUUUGGUGAGCCAGUCUUGGUGCUCUGUGUUCACCUGGUUCAUCUGAGGAGCUGCAUCUACCCUGCCCAUGCCAUAGAUCCUGCCCUGUUUGCUUCUCCUGUUGCUGCUAGUGGACAUGAGAAGGACAGAAUAACGGGCUCCCAGAUUCACAAGCCCCACCAAGAGGAUCACCCCAGGAACGCUUGGAGGCUGAGGAGUUCACUGAGGCUACUGCAUCUUGAGACUCAGGAUGAAGACCCAGCUUGGGGCUGUCAAAGGUUUUUUGCAUGUCUGACACCCAUGACUCCACCUGGACCUUAUGGCUCCACCCAGAAGCAAUUCAGCCCAACAGGAGGACAGCUUCAACCCAUUACGAUUUCAUCUCUGCCCCAACCACUCAGCAGCAAGCACCUGUUACCUGUCCACCCCCACCCCUUCCCCCAAACUGCCUUUGAAAAAUCCCUAACCUAUGAGCUUUGAAUAAGAUGAGUACGAACUUCAUCGCCCACGUGGCGUGGCCGGCCUCGUGUCUAUUAAAUUCUUUUUCUACUACAA
rnacentral:lncRNA from 1 species